GGAAGUGGAGGAAAGAUGGAGGUGUGGGGACAGGAGAUGGGACCAUCAGCACGUGCCCAUCGACAUCCAGACCAGCAAGCUGCUCGAUUGGCUGGUGGACAGAAGGCACUGCAGCCUGAAAUGGCAGAGUCUGGUGCUGACGAUCCGCGAGAAGAUCAAUGCUGCCAUCCAGGAUAUGCCAGAGAGCGAAGAGAUCGCCCAGCUGCUGUCUGGGUCCUACAUUCACUACUUUCACUGCCUAAGAAUCCUGGACCUUCUCAAAGGCACAGAGGCCUCCACGAAAAAUAUUUUUGGCCGAUACUCUUCACAGCGGAUGAAGGAUUGGCAGGAGAUUAUAGCCCUGUAUGAGAAGGACAACACCUACUUAGGUAAAGUGGCCUGGCCUGGGAGCCCUGGUAUCCAUGGGGAAGCCCACUCUCAGAGUUCUGAGAUACCAGGCUUAUAGGAGGCACAGUCUGUGAGUGGGAAGAGACUGGAGUAUAGAUGUUGCCUGUUUGUAGGUGGUAGAAUCAAUUGUUUUUGAUGGAGUUGAUUUUCCCUGGGUGGAGUGCUGGGGGAAGGAGGAGGUCCAGGCCGGUAGUGGGCAUUCACCAUGCCUCAGCGAGCAGGUGUGUGUGGGUCCUCCACCACUCACCUGUUGCUUAGCGGGAGUGUGCUGCCCCCACCCCUACGCCCGCACCCCCAUUCUGCAAGGCAGAAGAGGCACG
rnacentral:sRNA from 1 species